rnacentral:misc_RNA from 1 species
CCUCCAUGUGUGCCAAAAGACCUGAAGUCAAGUUUGCAGAUAUAACAUUUUAUGUUAGCAUGAAAAUGUAGUAGUGAUUAAACACAAACUUUUGACUCGGCCAUAAAUGGGUUGCAGAAUUCAACAGCAUAAAGUUAUAUACAUGCGUUUGUAAUGAAAACGAUGCACAGCCCACAAAAAGUCCAAAUCAUUCCUAAUUGUGAAAAGCAACUGUUAAAGCAUAGACAAAAGUUGUUCAAUAGAUUAAAUCAAACAAAAGUCUCACCAAAAAUCGGAGUUGAAGAUAUGAUUCUUUGAUUAGUUAGUAGGACAAAAUUUUGAGCUAUCAUUCUGUAGGCAACCAUCUGAAACCAGUAUCAACUGCAAACUAGCUGUUUCCACACACACACCUCAGAUUUCUUAAUCAUCAUCCCUAGUUUAGAACAUCUUUGACGAAUACAUAAACUUAGUGAAGUAAUUAGUGCAAAUUCUCUUAGCAGUUCCACAUUCCAUUGCGUUAUUACAUGCCUUGUAGCAAUGCAUAUGAAAGAAGAACAUCUUAAAGCAGUUCUUAUCACCCCAUAUUUUUGUUCUCAUCUCUACCACC